UACCACUUAGUACCAAAGACUUGGAUCC
rnacentral:piRNA from 1 species